rnacentral:tRNA from 1 species
ACCUGGGUGACUCAGUUGGUGGAGCGUCUGACUUUGGCUGAGGUCAUGAUCUCACAGUUCGUGGGUUCAAGCCCUGCCUCGGGUU